rnacentral:misc_RNA from 1 species
UUUCCGUAGGUGAACCUGCGGAAGGAUCAUUAACGAGUUAGGGUCUUCUAGGCCCGACCUCCCAACCCUAUGUUUAUUGAACCUCUGUUGCUUCGGCGGACCCGCCUCACGGCCGCCGGAGGACCGCUGCAAGGUGUCCUCUGGCCAGCGUCCGCCGAUGGCCAACCACUUAAACUCUGAAUGAAUCGUGUCAUAUGUCUAAGUCUAUGAUUAAAUUAAAGCAAAACUUUCAACAACGGAUCUCUUGGUUCUA